AGAGUUUGAUCAUGGCUCAGGAUGAACGCUAGCUACAGGCUUAACACAUGCAAGUCGAGGGGAAACGACAUCGAAAGCUUGCUUUUGAUGGGCGUCGACCGGCGCACGGGUGAGUAACGCGUAUCCAACCUGCCCACCACUUGGGGAUAACCUUGCGAAAGUAAGACUAAUACCCAAUGAUAUCUCUAGAAGACAUCUGAAAGAGAUUAAAGAUUUAUCGGUGAUGGAUGGGGAUGCGUCUGAUUAGCUUGUUGGCGGGGUAACGGCCNCCAAGGCGACGAUCAGUAGGGGUUCUGAGAGGAAGGUCCCCCACAUUGGAACUGAGGACACGGUCAAACUCCUACGGGAGGCA
rnacentral:rRNA from 1 species